UCCCUGGUGGCUUAGACGGUAAAGAAUCCGCCUGAAAUGCAGGAGACCUGGGUUCAAUCCCUGGGUUGGGAA
rnacentral:tRNA from 1 species